AAGUCGUAACAAGGUUUCCGUAGGUGAACCUGCGGAAGGAUCAUUAAUGAUUGACCGAAAGGUCUUAUCUUAACAUCCCUCACCUCUGUGAACCGUUUGACCUCCGGGUCUAGCAAUACAAACAUCAGUGUAAUGAACGUCUUGUUAUCUUAACAAAACAAAACUUUUAACAACGGAUCUCUUGGCUCUC
rnacentral:misc_RNA from 1 species